GCCUUCGUACUGUAGCGGUCAGCACGCUUGACGCGAAAUCAAGAGGUCCGUGGUUCGAUUCCUGGGGAAGGCU
rnacentral:tRNA from 1 species